AGAGUUUGAUCCUGGCUCAGGAUGAACGCUAGCGGGAGGCCUAACACAUGCAAGCCGAGCGGUAUUUGUCUUUCGGGACAGAGAGAGCGGCGUACGGGUGCGGAACACGUGUGCAACCUGCCUUUAUCAGGGGGAUAGCCUUUCGAAAGGAAGAUUAAUACCCCAUAAUAUAAUUGAUGGCAUCAUUGAUUAUUGAAAACUCCGGUGGAUAGAGAUGGGCACGCGCAAGAUUAGAUAGUUGGUGAGGUAACGGCUCACCAAGUCGAUGAUCUUUAGGGGGCCUGAGAGGGUGAUCCCCCACACUGGUACUGAGACACGGACCAGACUCCUACGGGAGGCAGCAGUGAGGAAUAUUGGACAAUGGGUUAGCGCCUGAUCCAGCCAUCCCGCGUGAAGGACGACGGCCCUAUGGGUUGUAAACUUCUUUUGUAUAGGGAUAAACCUUUCCUCGUGAGGAAAGCUGAAGGUACUAUACGAAUAAGCACCGGCUAACUCCGUG
rnacentral:rRNA from 1 species